UACGUAGGGGGCAAGCGUUGUCCGGAAUCAUUGGGCGUAAAGCGCGUGUAGGCGGCCAGGCAAGUCCGCUGUGAAAACUCGAGGCUCAACUUCGAGCUGUCGGUGGAAACUUUCUGGCUAGAGUCCGGAAGAGGAGAGUGGAAUUCCUGGUGUAGCGGUGAAAUGCGCAGAUAUCAGGAAGAACACCCGUGGCGAAAGCGGCUAUCUGGGACGGUACUGACGCUGAGACGCGAAAGCGUGGGGAGCAAACAGG
rnacentral:rRNA from 1 species